rfam:Aspergillus luchuensis DNA, map: 5-4 F, contig: AA1_SCon_043, strain: RIB 2604.
GGCAAGAUGGCCGAGUUGGUCCAAGGCGUCAGGUUAAGGUCCACCUUAAUACCCAGCUUUAUAGCUUCCUGAUCAUCGUAAGAUGGCGUGGGUUCGAAUCCCACUCUUGUCA